rnacentral:miRNA from 1 species
AGAAAUGCAGAUUCCCUGAGCACAGCCUUUGAAGAUUUUGACCCAGUCGAUCUGUGGUGGAGCCCAGGAAUCUGCAUUUUAG